GUGGGGAAUAUUGCACAAUGGGCGAAAGCCUGAUGCAGCGACGCCGCGUGGGGGAUGAAGGCCUUCGGGUUGUAAACCCCUUUCAGCAGGGAAGAAGCGAAAGUGACGGUACCUGCAGAAGAAGCGCCGGCUAACUACGUGCCAGCAGCCGCGGUAAUACGUAGGGCGCAAGCGUUGUCCGGAAUUAUUGGGCGUAAAGAGCUCGUAGGCGGUUUGUCGCGUCUGGUGUGAAAACUCAAGGCUCAACCUUGAGCUUGCAUCGGGUACGGGCAGACUAGAGUGCGGUAGGGGUGACUGGAAUUCCUGGUGUAGCGGUGGAAUGCGCAGAUAUCAGGAGGAACACCGAUGGCGAAGGCAGGUCACUGGGCCGCAACUGACGCUGAGGAGCGAAAGCAUGGGGAGCGAACAGGAUUAGAAACCCUUGUAGUCC
rnacentral:rRNA from 1 species